GUCUGGGCGCUGAGCUGGAGACCCAGGGUUUCUAGGAGAUUUCUCGCCGCACCUGUGCUCGCGGUACCCGGGGACAUCGGCACACAGCGUCUCCCCUGGGUGUCAACUCUCGCCUAACGGUGACCGGCGUCCCGCCCUCGCGGAGGGGUGGGCUCGGGGCCGCCGGCCUGACAGCUGGCGGGGACUGGGGUUUGCCCUGUGCGUUCUUGCACCGGCCCACGCCCGCUAGGGCACCUGCUGCCGGAGAUCAGGGAGGGGCCGGCGGCGGCUGGAGAGCGGUGCGGGCGGGGGGGAGGGGGCGGGCCUCGAGAGCUAAGCCGGAGCCCCCGAAGGAUCCCGCAGACAGGCCGGGGCUACCGCCUCUCGGCGCUGUGGCCGGAGCAGAGGGGGGCGCCGGGUGCGGAGGAUGGGGGUUGUGUCCGCGUGGGGCCCCUGGCCGCCCCCGGGGCGGGGGAGCGGCGAGGACGGCAGGCUUGGUCGUAAAAGGAGCCGCGUGUGAGUCCAGGUCACUGAGGCCCAUGCGGCCCAGGUGGGUGUCGGGCUGGCCGGGGGCAGGGUUAAUGUCUAAUGGGGGCAGAGCUUCAGUUUUGCAGGAACAUGGCAGCAGACAGUGUGAAUGUGCUUAGGGCUGUACACGUAAAGACGGCAAAGAUUAUCACGACAACGACAAGCGGGGACCCUGCUGAGCAGGGUCUGCGGUCUGGGAGCGGGUCUCACCAGUAUCAACCUCAGGGUCUGGAAACCUUUCUCGGAGCCAGGAACGGGUCGCCUUCUUUCUCACGUUGUAGUCUGUGUCGUCCCACUUCCUUGAUUCCUGCCCAAGACGAGUGUUUUUGUGGUGUUUGCGCCUGGCAUCGAAACUCCUCAGAUGUAAACUUGGUCCUCUUUGGUCCAGCGUUCAGACAGCGGGGGCUGAAGGAAAGGUCCCUGAGCCAGGUGUGAAGGACAGCAGGGCUUAGACUCUCGGGCCUGUGGGUUUUUCAUCUUGAAAGUCAAAAUGCACCGUCAGGAAAGCUCUUUUCUCCCCAGCGUCCCCUCUCCUGCCAGUAGCCGGGGUGAAGUCACCAUGGAGAAUCUCACACUGUUUCGUUUAUACAAACACAGCAUUUCAGUGGCUUCUAUUUGAGGUACAAAAUUUUAUUUUAAUUAGUCCAUUAAAAUAUUGUCUGCAUUUUGCCUCUGACACUGGUUAGUUAACGUGUUUGGAAUUUAGAAAACAGUGAUCACAACUGAUGCAUCUGGAAAAGAAAUCAUCCCGCCC